rnacentral:tRNA from 1 species
AGCAGCGUGGCUUAGUGGAUAGAGCCUGGGCCUGGGAGUCUGGGACCUGGGUUCUAAUCCCGGCCCUGCCA